AAUCUCAGUUCGGAUUGUAGGCUGCAACUCGCCUACAUGAAGUUGGAAUCGCUAGUAAUCGCGAAUCAGAAUGUCGCGGUGAAUACGUUCCCGGGUCUUGUACACACCGCCCGUCACACCACGAGAGUUUACAACACCCGAAGUCCGUAGCCUAACCGGAAAGGGGGGCGCGGCCGAAGGUGGGUUCGAUAAUUGGGGUGAAGUCGUAACAAGGUAAC
rnacentral:rRNA from 1 species